rnacentral:snRNA from 1 species
CAGGUCAGGCGGGAUUACCCGCUGA